CGGCGGCGGCCGCCAUGUUGUGCUAGUUUGUUGUUCUCGGGCGGCGGGAGCGGGACCCGCCGGGAGCCGAGACCGGCCCUCCCCGAGCCCUUCCCCGGGCCCUUCGCCGCCACCUUCCCCGGCACCUCCCUCGGCCUCACCGGCACCCGCCCCUCCGGCGGGUGGCGCCGGGGCGCUGCCGCGACCCGCCGCCUGUGGCGGGCGCAGAGCCAUGGCUGCCGCGCUGGGAGGAGGCGCAGAUGAUGACUUUGAUCAGUUUGAUAAGCCUGGUGCAGAAAGGUCUUGGAGAAGACGAGCAGGAGAUGACGACUGGGACAGUGAACUUGAUGAUGAUUUGCUUGGAGAGGACUUGCUAACUGGAAAAAAGAAUCAGUCAGACUUGUCAGAUGAAGAGCUGAAUGACGAUCUUCUGCAAAGUGACAAUGAAGAGGAACAAGAAUUUCGCUCUCCAGGUGUCACAGUGAGCCUCAAUGCCACAUCUGGCAUGCUGGCAUCAUACGAGUCCAUCAAUGAUCCAUCACUAGAACAUGAGUAUGACCAAGGGGAAGAUGAAAUUGGUUAUGACAAAUCUGAAGCACCUGAAGAAUAUGCUUCAGAGUAUGCAGAGGAGGGACAUUAUGAAGGCAAUGAUCCUGAACUGACAGAAGACCAAAUAGAAUAUGGGGAAGAGCCUGGAGAAGAAGAUGAAGUGCUAGACCUUGAAAUCAAUGAACCCCUUGAUGAAUUUCCAGAUGAAGAUUACAUGCAAUCAUAUAAUGAGCAAGGAAUGGAAGAACAAGAAGAAUAUACAGCUGAAGAGGAGCUGGAAGAAUCCCAGACAAUGGCAAAUGAAUCAGAAGAGGCAGCUAUUGGAUCUCUGGAACUUCAAGAAGAAACAAAAGAAGAAUCUGAUGAAGAGGAGGAUGAUGAUGAAGAGUCCGGACGAUUACGUUUCAAAACUGAACGGAAAGAAGGAACAAUAAUUAGGCUCUCAGAUGUGACAAGAGAAAGGAGAAACAUUCCAGAAACUUUGGAGCUUUCUGCAGAAGCCCAAGCAGCAUUACGUGAGUUUGAAGAGAGGGAAAGGCAGCUUAAACAGGGACGAUACGGCUCCAGGAGAGGAGGGCGAAGAGGAGGCUCCGUUAUGUGCCACGGAAUGGGAGAACAAAGGAGAGACAAUAAUGAUAGGGGAAGAAUGAAGGAUCACAGGCCUGCACUGCUGCCAAACCAGCCAUCAACAAUGACUCAUUCACAGAGGUUAAUUCCAACACACCAGCAACCUGUUAUGAGUCUGUUCCAGCAGCAACAACAGCAACAACAACAACAGCAACAGCAGCAGCAACAACAACAGCAGCAGCAGCAACAGUUACAAUCUCUGCUUCCUUUACAGCAUCAGCAUCAUUCUUCUCCUCCUCCAGUGCUACAUAUGCCCCCUCCGAUAGAAACGCCUCGAAUCAUGAUGACUCCACCUCCAGUGACACCUCAGCAACCGAAGAACAUACACAUAAAUCCACAUUUCAAGGGGACAGUAGUGACACCUGUACAAGUGCCCUUGCUGCCAGUUCCCGCCCAACCAAGACCUGCUGUAGGACCCCAGAGAUUUCCUGGCCCUCCAGACUUCCAGCAGCAUACUCCUGGACCAGUUCCUACCAAUUUCUCCCAAGCACCAAGGCUGCCAAUCCAGGACCAGUGGAGAGGGCCACCGCCACCACCACCACCACUCCCUCCUCCACCUCCUCAGGAUAGAGAUCCUUUCUUCAUAGCAGAUCCAAGGUUCCCAGGUCAUCCCUUGUUUGAGCAGCGGAGCCCCCCACCGCCGCCCCCUCCCCCGCUGCUGAACAGCGCCCACCCGGUCCCUGCGCAGAGCCCGAUGCCCUUCAGCCAGCCCGGGCCGGCCUUCAGCCAGCAGGGACAGCAGCCCGUGUAUCCCAGGGAGCGGCCGGUGCGGCCCAACAUGCAGCCCCAGGGCCCGGUGGGGAUCCUGCACUUCAACCAGCCGGGCUCGGCCAACCCGCGGCCCUUCAUCCCCCCGCGGCAGCAGUUCCUGCAGGCGCCGGGACAGCCCUUCCUCUCCCCGCACACGCAGCCCAGCAUGCAGGGUCCCAUGCAUCCUCCGUUACAGCCUCAGCCACAACCUCAGCCUCAGCAGCACCAUCACCAGCAGCAACAGCAACACCAUCACCAGCAGCAGCAGCAGCAACACCAUCACCAUCUCCAAGGGCCUCCCCAGCCCUUGAUGCCCAUGAACCAACCACAGUUCAGGCCUCACAUUCAGGCCACGCAGCAGCAGCCAAAUAACAACAGGAUGCAGUGUCAGCCACGACAGGGUCCAAUGAAGCCAAGGCAUAAUACACCAUCACAGAAUAUUGUCAAGCGCUCAAAUCAGCAGCUACAGUCAAGUGCUCCCAGGAACAGUAACUUGCGCGAGUUGCCGAUAGCACCGUCCCAUGCAAUGGAAAUGAGCAACAACAGGCGAAACUCCACCCCAGCUGCUCAGGUCAAACCCAUCACCAGCACCAUGUCUGCCACCAAGUCUGUCGGUGGUGGUGGAAACUCCCAGGGAAGGCCUGAAAUGAAAGCUAAAGCAAUCCCACCAGUGGGCCAAGCAAAGUCAGAGGGAAAAUCUGAACCAGAGUACCCAGAUGAAGAUGAAGAAACCAGGUUGUAUCGUUUGAAGAUAGAAGAGCAGAAGCGUCUGAGAGAAGAAAUUCUGAAGCAGAAGGAGCUGAGACGGCAGCAGCAGGCUGGUGCCAGAAAGAGAGAACUGCUGGAGAGACUUGCACAGCAGCAGCAGCAGCAACCUUCCACACAGCAGUCCUACAUGCAGCAUGAGGAUGACUCCUCUGAGUUCCCCACCAACGGCAGCCCCUACAUACCCCACUCCGGCUUGCACACCAGACACAAUGUGAAAAACAGACUCCUUGUUAGAAAGCAAGACACAGUAGUUCCAAAUAUCCAGCCCAAACCCACAGAGUUCCUCCAGAGCGGAGGGGGGGAUAUGCAGUAUCAAGGACAGCAGAUGAAGCCGGUGAAGCAGCUGAGGCAGACGAGGACAGUUCCUCCGAGUCAGCCUCAGGCACCGCAGAAGGUGUUACAGACAAAACCUGCUGCAGCGUCACUGCCCACGACACAGACGGCUCGAGUGGCUUCGGUACCAGCCAGGCCCCAGGAGCAGAAACCGGGUGUGAAAAGGACUGUCAUGCAGCGGACAAACAGUGGUAGUGAUGGGCCUCAUGUCGGCAGCAAAGUCAGGGUGAUUAAGUUGUCAGGAGGGCAGGGGGGAGAGGAUGCUGGCUUUUUUCACCCAGAGGGCCAGACCCAGCGGCCUCAACAACCCCCGGAGCCCAAACAGCAGCCAGUGCGGAAGGUCACUUUGACAAAGGGAAUGCAGCAGCACCAACAGCAGCAGCAGGCACAGAUCCAUUCACCAGCUCCUCAAGGAGUCAAAAACAUCCAGGGAAUCCAUCAACCUAAAAAGGUCAUUAUGCACGGCAGAGGCAGAGGAGUAGCAGGCCAGAUGGGCCGAGGACGCUUGAUGCCAAAUAAACAGAACCUGCGAGUGGUGGAGUGCAAACCUCAGCCCUGUAUUGUGUCAGUUGAAGGGCUUUCUUCAUCAACUACUGAUGUCCAACUGAAAAACCUGCUGAUGUCAGUGGGACCCAUUCAGAGAGGGAAGUUCCCUGUCAAUUACAAGAAGGUGCAAGGUAGCUACGCCAAAAUUAAUUACUUCAGAAUCGCAGAUAGAGUUUACAGAUGCUUCCUCAACAACGGAAAGCCAUAGCAAAAUUUAAGGAGCCAGCACAUGCUUUAGCAUUUCAACAGAAAUUCCACAGGCAUAUGAUAGAUCUGUCCCACAUAAAUGUGGCACUGAUUGUUGAGUGAUGUCUGCUGAGAGAAGCCCUGGCACUCACCGAACCGUUCUGUGGAGCUACAUGAGACACAGUGGCAAAACCAUCGGGUUGUGAAACCUUUCAGCUUAGUCUUUGAUUGCUCUGCUGAACUACGGAAAGCCCGGAGAUGUCCUCAAGAAGAGAUGGGUUUGAGAGGAUCCGCAAAGGUGGAAUUUCUGUUCGGUUUCAUCACAUUCUGUUGUAACCACAUGGAGUUAGAGAUUAAUUUUUUUUUUCAAAAUGCUUUCAAUGCAUGUAGACACUGUUCUUCAAGAUCCUACUGUGUGACCACAGUGACUGGAGAGAGAACGUUUACAGCGAAAGAUAAAAAAACUUUCUUCAUAGCAAAGAAUAUUUGAUAAUGGUUGCUCUUAUCUUCAGUGCAAGGUAUUGGAAUGAAAACUCAUUUUUCUAACCAAAACACGUUAGUUGCAUUGUAUAUCUGUGAGCACAGAAGGUAUUGUAUAGAUUUGAACGUGGUCUAUUUCACUGAAUAGCAGUUUGACGAGAAGCUUUGGAGGUGACACUGGAAAAUUGUAGUUUCGAUCUUUGUAAAUAAGUCUGUCUUUGCAUUUUUCUAUUCCAACGUAGAUUUCCAUCUUCUCUUUCCAAAUCCACUUAUUCCAUAAAACCCUGUGCAGGAAUUACACUGCUGUAUUUUCCCUUGGUUUUUAAAAACAGGGAUCUUCACCCUUCAGCAGCAUCGUGGGGUAGUGAACUCCAGGUUGUAAUUAGGUUUUAAAUGACGAGGAAAAAGAAGUAUUUGGUGGGUCACUCAAAAAAUGUUACGCAGGAGGAGUGGUGCAUUCCUGAUAGUUCUUUUGGGCUAGUGUGUCAUGGUUGCCUUAUGCUUUAUUUUGAUUAGGUUUUUUCUUUGAGAUUUAUUUUGUGAUUGAUGCUGAACCAUAAGAAACCCAUAACGGAAAGGACUUGGUUUGAUGUGUUGUUCCUGAUACGUAUAGUACUAUAAGGACAUUGUAAAUCUCCCAGUGAACAUAUCAGAUCCCAAAAAUUCUUUGCAAACAUUAAGAAGCUUUUAUUUUACUGAAAGUGAAAUUCAUAAUAUUUCCUUUUGGUUAGAACCAUCUAGAUGGUGUUGCCAAAGGAACAGUUUUUUCAGUUACUUCUGAAUAAACUUAUUAAAACGUCAUCUUUAUAUUGGAUUCCCGUUUUUAUGAACAUUUCCUUAGUUUUCAGACAUGAGCUUUUGCUUCAUGCUUUAUUUUAAGAAUGCUCUUAAGCACUCCACCUACUGUUUGAAGGGGGGGCACUUACAGAAACCAUGUAGGUUUGUUACCUGAGUGACUGCAGGAGAACACUAUUGGUAUGUAAUGAAAAAGCUAUGAAUGGGGUCCAAAAUAGGUGUACCAAGUGGAAAAGGAUGAGCUAAGCAAAUUUAUAGUACUGUAGAUUUUUUUUUUUUAAAUUUUUUUUUUUUUUUUUGAGUUAGUGGUAACCAAAUCACAAAUGCCUAAUUGGCUUUCUUACUCUUCUGGUCCAGAUUUUCAAUUAAGUGUAAGUUACCAAAAAUAAUGAUUGACUAAGUACUGUCAAAAGUCUUCUAAGUAAACCUACUCUCUGUUCUUUGUAAUAACGUGGUACAUUGAAAAUACUGCACUGGGGAAAACGGUUGAGAGAAUACCCUAAGUCCAUUUACAACUUAAUAACGAGACCCAGUAACAUGAUGGGAAUUUUUUCAUGGAAGUGAGGUUUACACCCACCUGUAUAGUUCACCAUUUACGCAUAAAGCUUAAUAACAGCCAACACAGCUACUAUACAUAAAGUGCUGUUAGUGCUUCAGGGUAAACCAAAGCCCAGGACAGAGCAUGAGCUGCAGGCAGGAAUUGCCCAGUGGGACCUGACCCUGAAGACCUACAAGGCCCAAGCUGUUUAACUCCUCACACCGUCAGCUCUAGGACCUCUACACUGCCUCCCCAGGUUGUGUAAUUUUUGUUCUUAAGAAAUAAAUGCUUUUCUUUAAAACAAGUCAUUAAACAGUUACACUGUCAGGGAGAAGCUUCUCUGCAAUGAGAAGAGUGGGAAGACAUCUCAGAGUGGAGUGAUGGUAGUGCGUGUCUGGAAAUCUGGGUUAGAUGCAAACACCAGACAGGCCAGCAGCUGAGUUCAGCACUAGGAACAUCUGCAGUUGAUCAGCUGUCCUGUCAUAAGCAAAUGUUAUUGGGGUUAGAGGGUUUCUUGGAGCCUAAGAAUAUGGGUUUGAUUCAAAAGUCAAAGAAGUUUGGAGAAACGCUCCUGCUUUGGGUUUUGAAUCCAUCCCAAAGAGGUUGAGGUUCAGCCAACUUAAGUUUUAAAAAUUUUUAUUCAGUGGGGUUUUAUUUUUUUUUUUUAAUUCUUUUUUUGAGACAAAUGUGUGGCUUUGGAAUAAAGACUUGAAAUGGCCUCAGAUCUAUUUAAAUGUAGGAGUGACAUAAGCAAUGCCUGUUUAAUGACUAGAUGCAUCCUCUUUAACAGCAGUUGCAGUAGAUUACUGCUUGUGCAUAGACAGGGUAUGGGGUGGAUUGCUGGGGUUUAAUUUAGCUGCUUACUGCAGUACCUGGAUAUUUACUAUAUGUAAACAUACUAUAUGUAUGUAUGUCUAUAUCUGUUUUAUUAUACACAUACAUACAUACACCCUCUGCUGUCACCAUAUCUCUCUAAUAUCUUAAAAAAACCUCAGUAGCAAAAGUAGCAAUUAGGUGAGUCAUUUGUUAAAAUGUUUGUGUUCUCUUAGUUCUCAAAUCCUAAGUUAAAACUGGAUGAUACAGCUCUUUUAGAUCCGUUUAUUGUCUCCUCCCAAAAAAACCCAAAGGAAGUAGAGGUAAAGCUAGACAGACAUGUUCUUGCCAUGUUCUCUCCCAGCACAUAGAUAAAUCUGAGCAUCUUAAGUUAACUUUCUUGGAAGAUCUGUUGCAACCAUUAUCUUGUUCUUUCUUUAUCAUGAAACUCACAAUACGAUGCAAAAUGGAAAGAAAAAAAAGGCAUUUGAUGUAGUAUGUAAAUAUCAAUCUUUUAAAAUUAAAAUGUUACUCAAAGUGCUUACAGUCAACCACAUCUUAGCUAUUUGUUAGUUUUUUUGUGUUGUCUUAUCCAAGUUUAAUGGAUACAGUUCCAUAAAUGUUGAUGUGUUUUUGUGUAUAUCUUCAAAUUUUUAUAAAGAUGAUAGUAAGUCAAUACAUAUAUCCUGACCUGUGUAUUAUUUGUUCAGUUUUUAUUAGCAUAAUUUUAUAAUUAUUUUAAUAGGCAACUCCAGUAGGUGGUUAUAUGAAGCCAUUUUGGUUUUUUUCCCCAAAUUAUUUUGUUUCCAUCUUGUAGCACUGGAAAAUUCACUUUAUAAUUAAUCAUAUUUUGCUUUGACUAAAAGAUUGGAUUACCCAUAUGUUCUGUGGUAUUUUAGUAGAAUGUUCUACUUCUGUUUUAUUAAAAAAAAACCCUAAGACAACUCUGUCCUUUAACUUUUGAGGGGAAAUACAGUGCACUGUCAGACCAAGGCCUGGGGUUUGUAGGUGUGUUCCAUUGUGCUGUACAGGUACAAAUUGGGUCUGUCGUGUAAUGUUGUUCUCAAAAGUUUGGGAUAUUUUGGUUUUGCACGUAACUCUGGUUGGUUAUGUAGCAAGUUCCUCUCAAUAUUGGCAACUGGUGAGGCACAUGUGCUGUGUGAUGGAGGGAUGUGCAGUGCUGGAAACGCUCGGGGUUGGUGGUGCUGGGCAGGAGGAGGAGGAGGGCAGGUCUGUAGCAUCUUCGUAGCCAGAGGAGCUGCCACACAAACAUUCCUCUCUGAGCAGUGGCAGAGAAUAAAUUUAGACAGGGAUACUGCUCUCAGCCCACAUGUGUGUCAAGGGUGACUUUGGGAAAGAAGGGUAAAUAGGAGCACCCAGUCUGUAUGGUAUCUUCAGACGCCUAGUUUUUUAUUCCCUUAGUUUAAAUCUGAAGAUUCAUUUCAGAUUUCCAAACUUCUGUAAGAAAGUCCUUCUAGCCAUUAAAAUGCCAAGCAGGCUGAACAUUUAAAUUCUUCCAUGUUAGGUUUCCACUGGGAGGAUAUAGAUGAGAAUUGAAGGUUAUUUCAGAAUAACCUUGGGGGGGUGGGUCUUCAAGUUUUCUCUUAGCAUUAGCUACUUGGUAUAAGAAAAAACCUUUUACUUGGUGCUGAUUUUUUAAAUCUUUUUUAAAAUAUGGUAUCCUUUAUCUGUUUAUCUUGAAAUUAUGCAAUUUCCCUGGAAGCUGCUGUAGGCACUUCCUGUCACUACACACAGUAACUGCGUGUCUGUAUGUGUGUGUGGGUGUGUUGCCCUUGUAGUUGGGGUGAGAGGGUGGGUGGGAGGCUGAGGGGUUUCUUUUCUUGAGUUUUUGGUUUUUUGUUUUUUGAGGGUUUUUUUUGGCUUUUUUGUUUUGUCUACUUAAGUGAUACCCUGGAUUUGUUCUCUGGCAUAGUAUUGUGUUGUGCUUGUCCUUCCUGUAGUACUGUGUCUGUGAUACUCGAGUCAUGAUGCUCGAAAACAGAAAUCUGGCUUCACCUGUUUGCUGUCAAAAAGGCAUUUUUGUUCAGAGACACACAAACCCUUUUUUUUUUAAUGCAUUUUUUUGUGCUUUAAUUUUUUUUUUAGCAGCGUGUUCGGUGAGAAAUUAAAUGUAAAGGAAACACAUCCUAAACAGAUUGCAGAAAGUUAGCUAUAUUAUAAAGGUCAUUUAGGGUAACAGAGGCCUUUUGUUUCAAUGUUACCUUAAAUCAUGCCUUAUACUCUAAUUAAUUCAUAAACAUAAUACUUGAAAGUAUUUUACCUUCGAUUAGUAUCAAAUCCUAAGGAUUUUCUGUAAGGUUUUUUUGUAACCUGGUUUUUUAAUCAUGGAGAUGACUUAUUAUCCACAUGAGCGCAGGGGCUCGUGUACAAAAACAGAUUCAUAUUGGAUCCCUGCGUAUGCCAGCUUCUGGUAUAAUAUGGUUGGGAAGGAUCAUUUUGGUCUUUAUAACGCUACUUUUGGCAGGGUUGGGGUGUUUAAUUUAAAUUAAAAAAAAAAAAAACUAAACAAAACACUCCAUCUUCUACUUCUCUGCAUAUUUUGGUGGAAAGUGUGGUCCUUUUUGCACUAAAGAAAACCUCAAGGGGAAAGUUAAUCGCAUGGGGUCUUUUAGGUGCCUGUGUUGCUCACUCCUUUCUUGGUUGGAUGCACUGAUUUUUCUAACUAACUGGAAAUGGGCUUUAUACAAACACUUUUUCAACAGGUUACAUGGCUUUUAUUAAUGUAACAGCACUUGGGUUAAGUAGUUUUUAGUAUCUAAAUUUUAAACAGUAUUAUAGAUUACAAAUAUUUUUUGUAAAAGAAUCUGUGUACAGUAAAAUGUGUACAGUAAAAUGUGUACAGUUAAAUGUAGCUGUAUUGCAAUGUGUGUAGUCACUUGGAAGAUCACAGUUUCAAACACUGCUGUGUUAAUGUUAUGUUUGUUCAGGAUUUUCUUUGUGUGCAUCUAGUGGUUUUUAAUAUGCAUUGUAUUUUUUUCCUAGUGUCCCUCAGGCUGAGUUUGGAACACCUUAGAGUUUUACUUCUUUUUCUAGAAUAACAAAACCAUUUGUUUGCAGGUUUUCUUUUUCAGAUGAUGAAACGUCUUUCAACAGUUUAACUUCUAAUGAACAGAGAUUUUCACUUACAGCAAAGACAAGAUGCUAACUCUCAUUUAUUCACAGCUGAUCAUCUGUUACCAUUGCAUACAAUUUUAUUGAUAAAAGAUCCCUUGGAAUAAGUCAACUUUCUUUUUUCCUGUGGUACCUUUUGCCCACUACCCUGUGCUUUACUUCAUUUCCAUCUCAUUUGCCCCCACUUUUCCAUUCCCUCAAGGAUAUUUGUAUCCUUGUUCUGUUCCUGCUCUUUUCACUCUGUCUCUCUGGAUGUUUUCCUGUCUGUGUGCAGUGCAUUCGAUCUUUUGCUCUCUUUUCCGUUCUUUCAGCUCUUUUAGUGUUCCUGAAGCCUAGAUCUCCUACCCUGAAAGCCCAUCAUUCUGUACUUUCCUUUGCAGACUGUGGUGUAUGAAGUUGAAGUUGUUUUUGUACAGGUAUCACAUCUUAGGAGAUGCUGCCCAUCCCAGAGCACUGGAGAAGCAUCACUUAACAGUUUUGCUUUGCAGUUUUACCCGUGUUGGAGAAUUUAAACAUGUUGUUUACAUGCUUUAGCAUUUGUGACAAGACAGGGUAACAGGAUUAACAACUCUUUUAUCCUUUUCACUUUUCCAGGAGUUCUGUUCUUGAAUUCAGUGAUAGUAAUAGCACUUUUUCUUAUUGCCACGUAGAAAUACGAACACUGUCGACACGAUUCUACCUCCUAUUACUAUUACUGAAUGUGAUCCUUCCUAACCUGUAAAGUCUUAAGCAGUGUAUAUAUAUCUGGGUGCUUUGAGAAUCAUUUCAAGUGUACUGCUCUAAUCUGGAUUGCAGAGUUUGUUUAUUGGCAGUUCAGGAUAUAAAUUCAGCAGCCCGACUCUGUCAUACUGACUCCACUGGGAGUGCGUCUGCCUCAUGUUUUCUACGGCAUCAUCCGCACAAGGUGUUGACUGCUAAUUUCUGAGUGUAAUACUGAACUUUACGAAAUCCUCUGCUUGCAUAAGAGAUCUUUCUGUCACACCUAUUGAAGUGAAUGUAAAAAUGGAAACACAAAGAUGAUCUCAUGUACAAGCUUUCUUUUAUUACAUGUAAUUCCGUGUUUAAAAUGUGAACAUGUAAAUAUGUUUAUUGUACCUAAAAUAUGUCAAUAAAACUUGAUUUUUAUAAGUUCUUA